rnacentral:lncRNA from 1 species
CUGAAAAACUGACCCAUUGUAUGCAGAGCAUCUUCAGAUAUAUUGAAACACACUGUGGGGAGCUCUGCAGAAUGUCACUGCACCUGGGCCAGUGAUUCCUGUUGGACAGAGUUGUUACACUGUCUGCCAAAUCCACAUCUCCCCCACUGGCUCCAGCACCUGUGAAGGAGCAAGCCUUAAACUGUGAACAGAAUGAAAUUAAACUUGGAAGAAAGCUGUGCAAACCACUAAGUUUUAAUCCUGCACCUUUUGAGAUUAAUGUGAACAUCCCUAUAGUUGGAAGGUAAAAAAACCCUCUAAGUACUAUUAAUAGGGAUGCGAUAAUUAGCACUCAUGGACAAGAUUU